UCAGAGCUCCAACAGGAAGUGAGUCUCUAGUUGACUUGGUGCUGCUGCUGAACAGGAAGUUGUCGCCACACUUCAGCCGCUCGGCGCCAUGACGGCAGCGCUGCUUCUCCUCGGUGAGUCCGACACUUUAAAAAUACUUGUGAAAAUAAACAAAGAGAACAGAAGGAUGUUGAUAUUAGUGUGUUAGGUUUAGACACUAACACACACUAACACACACACACUAACACACACUAACAUACACACUAACACACACACACACACUAACAUACACACUAACACACACACACACACUAACAUACACACUAACAUACACACACACUAACAUACAAACUAACAUACACACACACACACACUAACAUACACACUAACAUACACACACACACACACUAACAUACACACUAACAUACACACUAACAUACACACACACACACACACACACACACACACACACACACACACGCGCGCGCGUGUCGUUUCAGUGUGGCUCAGCGUUCUCCAGACGUCGGUUCUCGGUCGAGGUGAGUUUCAUGUUUCUUCAGAUAGACUCUGACGUGAGCCGGGUAGGAGAGACUCCUGACCACCAGGGGGCGACUCCUCUGGUUGUAUAGAAGUCUCUGUUCAUGUGUUCUGCGUUCUCUGAUGCUGGUCUGGGUUCAGGAGGUCCGGUGAUCCUGAGGACCCCCGUCCUCCCCGUGACGGAGGGGCAGACGUCCGUCUGUCCUGCCGGACGAGGACGACCUCCGACCUCCGACCUCCCGGCCGACUUCUACAGGAACGACUCGCCAGUCGGCGGCGCCGCCCGGAUCACUGUGUACGAUAGACCAGUUCUCCUGAGGACCCCCAUCCUGCCCGUGACAGAGGGCCGUGACGUCACCCUGUCCUGCAGAACCGGGACCAGGACCGGGACCAGGACCAGGACCGGGACCGGGACCAGGACCGGGACCGGGACCGGGACCAGGACCGGGACCAGGACCGGGACCGCCUCCGACCUCCCGGCUGACUUCUAUAAAGAUGGCUCCUUCAUGAGGACGGAGCCCACAGGUCACAUGACCCUCCACAACGUCACCUGGGCUGAUGAAGGGCUCUACAGGUGUAACACGAGCCACGGGGAGUCUCCACCGGGCUGGCCGUCACAGUGUGUAAGUGUGUGUGUCUGUGUGUGUGUCUCUAUCUGUGUGUGUGUGUGUGUAUAUGUGUGUGUCUCUAUGUGUGUGUGUGUGUGUCUCUAUGUGUGUAUAUGUGUGUGUCUCUAUGUGUG